rnacentral:ncRNA from 1 species
CAGAUAGAGGCGCGGGCUUCAUCAGUAGCCCCCGGCAUGGUCAGGCAGCCGCCGGGGAGGAAAGGGGAGACUGCCGAAGGAGAGUUUCGCUGCCUGGCGAAAUUCUGCUGGGCCGGGGGAGAAGAUCCUUCGGACUGUCACAGACGUUGUGAAGCGCUAUCGA